GGAGCUCAUGCGCGGGGCGCGGGCACGUGCACCGCACGCCUGGGAGGCGCUCUCCCGCGGCCUGGCGGUGUCGGGCGUCGCGCGCUCGCCACAGGAAUGCCGUGGGAAGUUCCGCCAGCUCCGGGACCGCUUCCUGCGCUGGCGCCAGGGGGGUCAGCUCCGACCACCGCCACACCACCGCGCAAUGGAGCGCCUUCAGGAGGAGUCUGAACGGUUGGCGGCGGCGGGACAGCAGCCGAGAGGUGAGCAGCUUUUCCGCUUUGCGCGCUUUGCGCCGGCCCUGACUUUCUUCGCACGCCCCCUUUGCCGGUGGGGGACAAAAAAGUGCGCGGUGCGCCGGCUUGGCGGGCCAGGGGAGCGCGGCGCUGGAGCUCUGUGUCUUGACUGUUUGCUCUUCUGCAGGGGAGGAGCACGGGGCAGAGAUCAUAUCCGUGACCAGUGGAGAGGAGGCGGAGGAGGUGCCGGGCGCGGUUGUCCUCCGUGCGCCGCCAUCAUCGCCCACCGGAGUGGUGGCGGAUAGCCCGAUCCGCCCUGAGUCCGCCACAACCAUGGAGCAAGACUCAUCCGGUUCCAGCGCGGGGACUUCGCGGGAGGAGGGGCGCAGGGCAGAGCUGGAGCGGGAGGCUGUGCCCAUAGCAGUGCGUGGGCAGGUCGCGGUGGAGGCCUGCCUCAGAGUGUUGAACCGAACCGAGGCGGCGGUGACCAGGAUGGCGGAGGAGAUCACGGCUAUUGGUCAAGCGGUCCAGGACAUGCGCCGGGACAUGGCCA